UCAAGUUAUUAAGGGUGCAGGGCGGAUGCCUUGGCACUAGGAGCCGAUGAAGGACGUGAUAAGCUGCGAUAAGCUUCGGGGAGUUGCACGUAAACUUUGAUCCGAAGAUUUCCGAAUGAGGAAACUCACUUAGAGUAAUGUCUAAGUAUCAUUAAGUGAAUACAUAGCUUAAUGAGGGGAACUCAGGGAACUGAAACAUCUAAGUACCUGAAGGAAGAGAAAGAAAUUCGAUUCCGUAAGUAGCGGCGAGCGAACACGGAUUAGCCCAAACCAAUAAAGUUUUCUUUAUUGGGGUUGCGGACAUAUCAUAACGAAGAGGUAUCGUAAUUGAAGAGGUUUGGAAAGACCCACCACAGAAGGUAAUAGUCCUGUAUGUUAAACGAGAAGACUUUAGAUAUGAUCCAGAGUACCACGGGACACGUGAAACCCUGUGGGAAGCAGGAGGGACCACCCUCCAAGGCUAAAUACUACCUAGUGACCGAUAGCGUAUAGUACCGUGAGGGAAAGGUGAAAAGAACCCCGGGAGGGGAGUGAAAUAGAACCUGAAACCCUGCACUUACAAGCUGUGGAAGCACAUUUCUUGUGUGACCGCGUACUUUUUGUAGAACGGGCCAACGAGUUACGUUAAGUAGCAAGGUUAAGCACUUAAGGUGNGGAGCCGUAGCGAAAGCGAGUUUUAACUGAGCGUUCAGUUACUUGACGUAGACCCGAAACCGGGCGACCUACCCAUGAGCAGGAUGAAGCGAAAGUAAAAUUUCGUGGAGGUCCGAACCCACGAGCGUUGAAAAGCUCGGGGAUGACUUGUGGGUAGCGGUGAAAUUCCAAUCGAGCCCGGAGAUAGCUGGUUCUCCCCGAAAUAGCUUUAGGGCUAGCCUCAAGGUGAGAGAUACGGAGGUAGAGCACUGAAUGUCCUAGGGGGUAUUGCACCUACCGAAGACUAUCAAACUCCGAAUGCCGUCAUCUUAUACUUGGGAGUCAGACUGUGGGUGAUAAGAUUCAUAGUCGAAAGGGCAACAGCCCAGAUCGUCAGCUAAGGUCCCUAAAUGUAAGUUAAGUGGUAAAGGAUGUGGGAUUGCACAGACAACCAGGAUGUUGGCUUAGAAGCAGCCACUCAUUCAAAGAGUGCGUAAUAGCUCACUGGUCGAGUGAUCCUGCGCCGAAGAUUUCCGGGGCUAAAACUUACUACCGAAGCUACGGCAUCAGUAAUGAUGGGUAGGGGAGCUUCCCAUACGGGUUGAAGCAUGACCGUAAGGACAUGUGGACAGUAUGGGAGUGAGAAUGUUGGCAUGAGUAGCGAGAUGUGGGUGAGAAUCCCACAGGCCGUAAACCCAAGGUUUCCAGGGGAAGGUUCGUCCGCCCUGGGUUAGUCGGGACCUAAGCUGAGGCCGAAAGGCGUAGGUGAUGGACAACAGGUUGAUAUUCCUGUACUACCGAUAACCGUUUGAGAGAAGGGAUGACACAGUAGGAUAAGCUAAGCACACUGUUGGUUAUGUGUGCCCAAGCAUUGAGGCAGUCAAAGUAGGCAAAUCCGCUUUGAUAAUGCUGGGAUGUGAUGGGGAGCGAAAUUUAGUAGCGAAGUAGCUGAUUUCACACUGUCAAGAAAAGUCUCUAUCGAGGUUAAAGGUACCCGUACCGCAAACCGACACAGGUGGGUGAGGAGAGUAUCCUAAGGCCAGCGAGAGAACUGUUGUUAAGGAACUCGGCAAAAUGACCCCGUAACUUAGGGAUAAGGGGUGCCACCAUCAGGUGGCCGCAGAGAAUAGGCCCAAGCGACUGUUUACCAAAAACAUAGGUUUCUGCUAAGUCGCAAGACGAUGUAUAGGAGCUGACGCCUGCCCGGUGCUGGAAGGUUAAGGGGAUCUGUUAGAGCAAUCGAAGCAGUGAACUUAAGCCCCAGUAAACGGCGGCCGUAACUAUAACGGUCCUAAGGUAGCGAAAUUCCUUGUCGGGUAAGUUCCGACCCGCACGAAAGGCGUAACGAUUUGGGCACUGUCUCAACAACAGACUCGGUGAAAUUGUAAUUCCGGUGAAGAUGCCGGAUACCUGCGACAGGACGGAAAGACCCCAUGGAGCUUUACUGUAGCUUGACAUUGGGUCUUGGUACUACAUGUACAGGAUAGGUGGGAGGCUUUGAAACCAGGACGCCAGUUUUGGCGGAGCCAUCCUUGGGAUACCACCCUUGUAGUACUGGGACUCUAACCAUAGGCCAUGAAUCUGGUCUUGGGACACUGUCAGGUGGGCAGUUUGACUGGGGCGGUCGCCUCCCAAAAGGUAACGGAGGCGCUCAAAGGUUCUCUCAGUACGGUCGGAAAUCGUACGUAGAGUGUAAAGGCAAAAGAGAGCUUGAUUGCAAGACAUACAGGUCGAGCAAGGAUGAAAAUCGGACUUAGUGAUCCGGUGGUUCUGCGUGGAAGGGCCAUCGCUCAACGGAUAAAAGCUACCCUGGGGAUAACAGGCUUAUCUCCCCCAAGAGUCCACAUCGACGGGGAGGUUUGGCACCUCGAUGUCGGCUCAUCACAUCCUGGGGCUGUAGUAGGUCCCAAGGGUUGGGCUGUUCGCCCAUUAAAGUGGUACGCGAGCUGGGUUCAGAACGUCGUGAGACAGUUCGGUCCCUAUCCGUCGCAGGCGUAGGAAAUUUGAGAAGACCUGUCCUUAGUACGAGAGGACCGGGAUGGACGUACCUCUGGUGUACCAGUUGUCCUGCCAAGGGCAUGGCUGGGUAGCUAUGUACGGAAUGGAUAAGCGCUGAAAGCAUCUAAGCGCGAAGCCAACUUCAAGAUAAGAUUUCCCACCGCAAGGGUAAGACCCCAGAAAGACUAUCUGGUUGAUAGGUCGAAGGUGUAAGUGCAGCAAUGUAUUUAGCUUAUCGAUACUAAUAGGUCGAGGACUUGACCAA
rnacentral:rRNA from 1 species